CACGCCUGCACACCAAGCCGUCCCAGGCACCCGCCGUGGAGGUGGCGCCUGCCGGAGCUUCCUACAAUCCAUCCUUUGAAGACCACCAGACCCUGCUCUCAGCGGCCCACGAGGUGGAGUUGCAGCGGCAGAAGGAGGCGGAGAAGCUGGAGCGGCAGCUGGCCCUGCCCGCCACGGAGCAGGCCGCCACCCAGGAGUCCACAUUCCAGGAGCUGUGCGAGGGGCUGCUGGAGGAGUCGGAUGGUGAGGGGGAGCCAGGCCAGGGCGAGGGGCCGGAGGCUGGGGAUGCCGAGGUCUGUCCCACGCCCGCCCGCCUGGCCACCACAGAGAAGAAGACGGAGCAGCAGCGGCGGCGGGAGAAGGCUGUGCACAGGCUGCGGGUACAGCAGGCCGCGUUGCGGGCCGCCCGGCUCCGGCACCAGGAGCUGUUCCGGCUGCGCGGGAUCAAGGCCCAGGUGGCCCUGAGGCUGGCGGAGCUGGCGCGGCGGCAGAGGCGGCGGCAGGCGCGGCGGGAGGCUGAGGCUGACAAGCCCCGAAGGCUGGGGCGGCUCAAGUACCAGGCACCUGACAUCGACGUGCAGCUGAGCUCGGAGCUGACAGACUCGCUCAGGACCCUGAAGGGCAACAUCCUUCGAGACCGGUUCAAGAGCUUCCAGAGGAGGAAUAUGAUCGAGCCUCGAGAGAGAGCCAAGUUCAAACGCAAGUACAAGGUGAAGCUGGUGGAGAAGCGGGCGUUCCGUGAGAUCCAGUUGUAGCUGCCAUCAGAUGCCGGAGACUCGCCCUUCAAUAAAAAAUCUCUUCUAG
rnacentral:lncRNA from 1 species